UUUCGUUGACACUUGGUUAAAAGUGCUGGUCAGGGCUAUUGUUAGGGGAACCCAGAGCUGUGAUGCACACGGUGCACGGGCAGUGAUACAUGGUGUGUGGACACGUGUCACGUUUUGGAACUAGAGAGGUUUCCUGUGAACAGCUGGGGUCAGGUGUAUUAUUGUGAGCUGGGGUGAUGAUGGGUUACCAGCAGCUUGUUGCGUCACCGUGGGGACUGAUACCGAUGGCCUCGUUGAUAGUGGAAGAGUGACGGUCGGAUUUAUUGAGUUGGGGUGAUAAUGGUUACCAGCAGCUUCUGGUGUCACCGUUGACCGACACUAUAGAUGGCCUUAUUUAUGGAACAGAGUGACGGCGAGUCGAGGGUUGCAAGAACAAAGCAACACUGUCGAUGAACUUGACCUGGACUUGGUUACACGUAUUUGAAAGGGGUCUCUGUUCCAGAGACUGAUAAUUUACUGGUGCUUGGUGCCUGGGUGUUAUUAUAUAUGAACAGUAUUACCUUAUUUCCAGUGAAUUGUUUAUAAACCACCACUAAAUAUUAAGAUUAAUAAUUAUUUAUUGAUUCUUGGUGAAAUACAAAUGUAAAAUUA
rnacentral:lncRNA from 1 species